AACACGUGGGGAACCUGCCCCAUAGUCUGGGAUACCACUUGGAAACAGGUGCUAAUACCGGAUAAGAAAGCGGAUCGCAUGAUCAGCUUUUAAAAGGCGGCGUAAGCUGUCGCUAUGGGAUGGCCCCGCGGUGCAUUAGCUAGUUGGUAAGGUAAAGGCUUACCAAGGCGAUGAUGCAUAGCCGAGUUGAGAGACUGAUCGGCCACAUUGGGACUGAGACACGGCCAAACUCCUACGGGAGGCAGCAGGC
rnacentral:rRNA from 1 species